ACGAUUGACGGAGCGAAGCGACGUCAAAGCGUUCAUUAAAGUCGAGUUGGCUUAGGGAUACGUUCGUUGGGUAGGGGAGCGUUCUGUAAGCCUGUGAAGGUGUGUCGUGAGGCAUGCUGGAGGUAUCAGAAGUGCGAAUGCUGACAUAAGUAACGAUAAAGCGGGUGAAAAGCCCGCUCGCCGGAAGACCAAGGGUUCCUGUCCAACGUUAAUCGGGGCAGGGUGAGUCGACCCCUAAGGCGAGGCCGAAAGGCGUAGUCGAUGGGAAACGGGUUAAUAUUCCCGUACUUGGUGUUACUGCGAAGGGGGGACGGAGAAGGCUAUGUUGGCCGGGCGACGGUUGUCCCGGUUUAAGCGUGUAGGUGUGUGUUCCAGGUAAAUCCGGUUCACUUUAACACUGAGGCGUGACGACGAGGCACUACGGUGCUGAAGCAACAAAUGCCCUGCUUCCAGGAAAAGCCUCUAAGCAUCAGGUAACAUCAAAUCGUACCCCAAACCGACACAGGUGGUCAGGUAGAGAAUACCAAGGCGCUUGAGAGAACUCGGGUGAAGGAACUAGGCAAAAUGGUGCCGUAACUUCGGGAGAAGGCACGCUGACACGUAGGUGAAGUGAUUUACUCAUGGAGCUGAAGUCAGUCGAAGAUACCAGCUGGCUGCAACUGUUUAUUAAAAACACAGCACUGUGCAAACACGAAAGUGGACGUAUACGGUGUGACGCCUGCCCGGUGCCGGAA
rnacentral:rRNA from 1 species